rnacentral:lncRNA from 1 species
GUCAUGUUCCAUUCAUCAGGAUUGGAGAUAUAAUAAUCGAGAAUUGACCAACGCAGAGUACAAUAAACUCCUUACAGUGCUGGCAUCAAGGCAAAUAAGUUGCAGAGAAAUACAAGUGCCUCUCUGAUACUCUACCUGACUGUUCCGUAUGUUGAUAGGUUCCUAUCUUUGAAUGCUCUCAAUCCGAAAAUGCUUCAGUUACUUGGUGUUUCUUCAAUGCUGCUGGUUGCCUCGAAGUAUGAGGAGAUCACACCUCCACAUGUUGAAGAGUUUUGUUAAAUAACAGAUAAACGUGCUCCAAGGAAGAGGGUGUGUAAAUGGAGGCUGAUAUACUUAAGGCCUUGUAGUUUGAUUUGCACAAUCCUACAAUAAAGACAAAUUUAAGGUUUGCAGGAGAUCCAAUAGAGUUGCUGAAGUGCGCGAAAAAUAUGUUGUUUCUGCAGGGGAAUCUAGUUUGUUUUUGUCAAACAAUUUCUAGAGGUUUUUGCUAAAUUAGAGGAAUAGCUGUUGUGCAAACUGAGUCCUGGUACUUCUGCUGAUCCAUUAUUCCCCUUACAUGAUUGUUAUUUACCUAUUCCUAUAAAGAAAUAUUUAAACACUUCUACAUGCAUGUUUGCGGACACUUAAACUGACUGGAGAAUGUAUAGCAUAAGUAUCGAGCAUUGAUAGAAGUCAUAGAACAUGAAUACAUGCCUACAAUAGUGUUAAUUUCCCUGGAAAAAUUUAUUACCAGGUGAAGUUUGUAGAAUAGUUUAGGUCUUUGUUAUUGGGGAUUGAGACUAUAGGAAGAAGAUACAGAUUUCCUACAACUUGGUGAAGUCUUUGCUAUUCAACAUUAUUACUUGAAAGCAAUAGAGUAGGGUUGGGAUAGUUUUCCAUAUUACUACAGCGUCAUCCAAGAAUGGGACUUGUUUGAUUUGCAGGCUUUCUGAAACACCAGAUGAGUAGUAGUUGAGUCAGCUAAACUAGUAGGCCUCUCGUGCCAUAUCCCAAGGUUCCCUUUCAUCAGAAAAAUCUUUCAGUUUGUUCCUCUGAAUUGUCCUCCAAACCAGUGGUGUAACUUUAUUUGGCCAACUCUGUUUUCCAUAGAGAAAUCAUUGUUACCAUGGAAGCUGUUGCAUGGAAAAUCUCUCAACAUAUUGCAGCGUACAGCCCUUUGUAGCAGGAUUUGGGGGACUAGGUUUUCAUCAUUUUUGGCUCUGUUGUACUAAAAGCAAUUUUAGUACAACAGAGCCAUCAAAUGGGACAACUUUGCUUAGCAACAAUGUGUCUGAUGGAUGACAGAAACUAUCUAAUUGAUGAAGCAGAUAGCUUUCUUUGUCUUCUUUGUCUUAGGAUUUCAAGAGUAACAAUCCUCCUUUUCUGUUUGUGAAACUUCAAAAAAAAUGCCGAAAUUUUAUUAACCUUUGGGUUUGUUCCUUGCCAGAUGCUCUGUUGUAUUUGAGAUUAUGGAUGUCAUGUACCCAUAAGCAGUCAAUUGGUGAAGGCCAAAGCAUUCUCAGAGCCAAAAAAAAAAAAAUUCAGAGGUCUGUUCCUGAGGAGGGUUACUUGCAUCCAUUUAUGUUAUAAGCACCAAGCAAUCCUUAACUUCAUGAAGUUCUGCACCAAGGCAUGGCUACUAGCUUGGAAGGAGCUGAAUUGAGAACUGCUAAUGGCUUUCAUAAUACGGCAAGCCAAGAUUUGCUCCCUUUAUUUGCAAUAUUGGGGAUUUGGUUUGUACAAAGCAACUAUUAGCCAUCUAAUCUGAGACCUUUGGAUGAUCAUAAUAUGGGAUGGAAAGAAACAAUAAGAAGUGUUGAAUUGAACUUUUAUGUCUCAGAUGGUGUUGGUCUCUUCAGUGCCAGCCAAGCUGAGAACCACUAGAGUUGGGAGUACGUAAGGAUGCCAUUGUUCUUUGAGUUACUUGGCUAAAGUUUGGAAACAGGCUCAUCUGUGCUCGUGGAUACUCCUGCCCAAGCUGAACAACCGAUCAGGAGCGAACACAUGGGAACAUGCUCCACAUCAGCUCGGAGAACUUAUCAAGGAACCUCACAUUCACACAUGAUGAGACGUCUACUCAUGCCUUAGAGCUACUCACUCAUUAAGGAUCUUCAUUUCCAUGCCUUACGGACCAAUGUUUCAUCACGCUCCAUUCAGUUGCAUUCUUUAUAUAGCUAAACCAUCAUAUAGUGUAAUUAACCAUAUUUAUUCAAUUAUAGUGAAACCACUAGCAAACAACAGUGACGUAGCCCUGAACUCUAGCCGAGUUUUGGGUGAACACGUAAAUCUCCUAAUACAUGUAUGAUUGUCUUUUACGUAUAGUUUAUAUUUUGGUGAACUUUUUCUUUAUCAGCAUAAUGAUUCUUCAUUGGCAUAAUGACCAUUUU